UACGGAGGAUCCUAGUGUUAUCCGGAUUUAUUGGGUUUAAAGGGAGCGUAGGCGGGAGGUCAAGUCAGCUGUGAAAUGUAUCUGCUUAACGGGUACACUGCAGUUGAAACUGGUUUUCUUGAGUGCGUAAGAGGCAGGCGGAAUUCGUUGUGUAGCGGUGAAAUGCUUAGAUAUCACGAGGAACCCCGAUUGCGCAGGCAGCUUACUAAACUACUACUGACGCUCAUGCACGAAGGCGUGGGGAUCAAACAGGAUUAGAUACCCU
rnacentral:rRNA from 1 species